rnacentral:rRNA from 1 species
GUGCCAGCCGCCGCGGUAAUACGGAGGGUGCAAGCGUUAUCCGGAAUCACUGGGUUUAAAGGGUGCGUAGGCGGAAUAAUAAGUCAGGCGUGAAAGGUUGCAGCUUAACUGUGGACUUGCGUUUGAUACUGUUAUUCUUGAAUCGAGAUGAGGUCAGCGGAAUGCGACAUGUAGCGGUGAAAUGCAUAGAUAUGUCGUAGAACACCGAUUGCGAAGGCAGCUGACUGGACUUGAAUUGACGCUGAGGCACGAAAGCGUGGGGAGCGAACAGGAUUAGAUACCCGAGUAGUCC